CCAAGCCAUCGAGCGGGGCGCGGACAGCUGCGCGGGCAGGGCUCCGCGGGGCGCCGCGCAGCCCCCUCCGCUCCGCCCGGCAACUAUUAAUGACCGGGCGGCCCCGGCGCGGACAGCAUCGCCGGGCGGGCUGCGAGCGCCGCGCUUUCAGCGACUCUUCUGCUGCCACUUCGCUUCUCCUGAGAACAUUUUUUCUGAGUGACUCCUGCUUCCAGACACAUUUGCCAUGA
rnacentral:lncRNA from 1 species